AGUGAACGCUGGCGGUAGGCCUAACACAUGCAAGUCGAACGGCAGCACAGUAAGAGCUUGCUCUUACGGGUGGCGAGUGGCGGACGGGUGAGGAAUACAUCGGAAUCUACUUUUUCGUGGGGGAUAACGUAGGGAAACUUACGCUAAUACCGCAUACGACCUACGGGUGAAGGCAGGGGAUCUUCGGACCUUGCGCGAUUGAAUGAGCCGAUGUCGGAUUAGCUAGUUGGCGGGGUAAAGGCACACCAAGGCGACGAUCCGUAGCUGGUCUGAGAGGAUGAUCAGCCACACUGGAACUGAGACACGGUCCAGACUCCUACGGGAGGCAGCAGUGGGGAAUAUUGGACAAUGGGCGCAAGCCUGAUCCAGCCAUACCGCGUGGGUGAAGAAGGCCUUCGGGUUGUAAAGCCCUUUUGUUGGGAAAGAAAAGCAGCAGGUUAAUACCCCGCUGUUCUGACGGUACCCAAAGAAUAAGCACCGGCUAACUUCGUG
rnacentral:rRNA from 1 species